rnacentral:rRNA from 1 species
GGGUAACGGGGAAUUAGGGUUCUAUUCCGGAGAGGGAGCCUGAGAAACGGUACCACAUCCAAGGAAGGCAGCAGGCGCGCAAAUUACCCAAUCCCGACACGGGGAGGUAAGUGACAAUAAAUACUCGAUACUAGGGGCUCUUUUCGGGGUGCUCGUGGUAAUUUGGGAAUGAGUACAAUUUAAAUCCCGUUAACGAGGGAACAAUUGGAGGGCCAAAGUCUGGUGCCCAGC